CCCUCAUUCUAGAAUACCUGUAUUAAUCAUUUCAGCAACUUCGGCUAGCUUGCGUUGUUUUUGCUGAAUACCGCUCACAGGCUGUUGUCCAAGGGGGGCACCCUCUGUCGUUAACCCCUCGCCACAUCUCGACAUUAACAAAACAAUCAACCCCACUGCCUCAUAACUCUCUGCCCCGUCAUACAGCAAACUCCUAGCUGUCUUUAACAACGGAUGUCGAGAGCCAACUAAUUUCUUACUAUGGACCAGCACGCUAGAUAUCUCGUCGCUUAAAAGGCAUCGAACUAGACUAGUUUGAUAACCAACAACUUUUUCCGCUUCCAAUGCCAGAUUUUCCAAUUUUGAAACACCCCUUGGAGAAUUUAAUUCCCUCGAUGCAAUGCAAGUGGUUUUAGCUCCGUUUCUUAAGCAUUUUAGUAAGCGUAUUCUAUGUACGUGCCGAGAAGAAGCUAGUUUUGUUGGUAUGAUUUUUUUGAAAAUUUCAGCGGCCAUAUUGUUCGAGCCAAAACAAGCUAGGUUACAUGAAGUAAGGUCUGAACGUAAAAAUUACUUUAUCCAGUGCUGUAUACAGUUCAGUUGCUCAGACAGCUUCGGAUUUUCCCGAUGUUCGCCCGAAGAACCGAAGAACAUGCAUAAAUUAUGAAUAAAUAAAUAAAUACUUC
rnacentral:lncRNA from 1 species